UCCCCCCCUUUCCAGACCUCAUUUAAGGGUUGUUCAGGGAAGGGUGAGGGCACUUUUAGUUGGAGAUACUUCAGUAGACGAGGUCUUCUGAGGACCUUGUUUGUGGGUUGGCAGCAGAGGUAUGGGUAUCUUGUUGGAGAUUCCUGCCUAUUGGAGGUAUUCCGAAGGGACUAAUGGAGUUGUUUUUCAGAAUCAUUCACUACUCGUGUUUUCAAAAAAGUAGAAAUGGCAAGAACUUAUCAUGCACUGAGAGAGAGCAUUCAUUCAACAGUACUGUAAAAUUGGGUAAUACUAAAUAAGCAGUAAUGUACAUGACUGCAACCAGGAAAAAAACCACAGCCACUCAUUUGGACCAUGAACUUUGAUAACAAGAGGAAGAAUUGAUAAACGAAGGAAUGAUGUUUUAAGAUGCUGGAGAGAAUAGCUGAAACAAAUGAUAAUUACAGCAUGUUUUAGUUAUGCUGCCAGGUGGAUGAGAUGAAGGUGUGCCUUUGUCAGCAGUAUUGCUCUUGGGUUUAAUUGCUGCAGCAUUUUUAAGCAGCUGUUUCAAAAGAGAUGCACAAGUUUUGCUCUUGUUUGCGUGGUUGUCUAACCCCAACUCAGGAGUAAGAUGUUUUCCUCCUAUGUUGGCAAAUAAUCUUUCUUCCUUUAAAUCCGACGCAGUCUGUUCCCCAGCUCCUGCUGUAUCUGUACUUAACUCCAAGUUCCUUUAAGUCAGUAAUAAACUUUCCAGACAGUUGUUUCCAGUGUUUCCAAUUGCUA